CGAACGCUGGCGGCGUGCCUAAUACAUGCAAGUCGAGCGAGCGGAACCAACAGAUUUACUUCGGUAAUGACGUUGGGAAAGCGAGCGGCGGAUGGGUGAGUAACACGUGGGGAACCUGCCCCUAAGUCUGGGAUACCAUUUGGAAACAGGUGCUAAUACCGGAUAAGAAAGCAGAUCGCAUGAUCAGCUUUUAAAAGGCGGCGUAAGCUGUCGCUAAGGGAUGGCCCCGCGGUGCAUUAGCUAGUUGGUAAGGUAACGGCUUACCAAGGCAACGAUGCAUAGCCGAGUUGAGAGACUGAUCGGCCACAUUGGGACUGAGACACGGCCCAAACUCCUACGGGAGGCAGCAGUAGGGAAUCUUCCACAAUGGACGCAAGUCUGAUGGAGCAACGCCGCGUGAGUGAAGAAGGUUUUCGGAUCGUAAAGCUCUGUUGUUGGUGAAGAAGGAUAGAGGUAGUAACUGGCCUUUAUUUGACGGUAAUCAACCAGAAAGUCACGGCUAACUACGUG
rnacentral:rRNA from 1 species